rnacentral:tRNA from 1 species
GCCCUCGUGGCGGAAUUGGCAGACGCACUAGCUUCAGGAGCUAGUUCCUGUAAGGGAGUGGAGGUUCAAAUCCUCUCGAGGAGA